UUUCAAUGAAAGCAGGUGUAUGUCUCCAGGCCUCGUUGGAGGUGGAUGCAUGUUGCUGUUUAGAGACUUUAAUGGAUGCAUGUAUACUUAUGGACCUAAAAUUCCUACUUACAUGGACUGGAUGAGGACCUUCUGCUAACCGGUUCUCUGGCAUCACUCCGAACGACUGCUUCUCAGAACGGGAGCCUGUGCUGUUCUGGGAGUGGUGAGUGGAGGUUGCGCCCUUCCCGCCGGACGCCCAGGAAUUGGUCCGACCAUCAGAGACUAACAUGGUAUGUUUCCUGGAGUCUCCCUUCCGAGGAGAAUUCUGAAUCAUCUGCUGCGGAAAUGAGUUGAACAUCCCUUGGAACUAAGGAAUAUCCCGUCAUGCCUUGCUUCUGCAAACUAGCCACCCUGGGACGGGACUCCCAAGAAUCAUUGAGAAGGUAAUUG